CCCUCCUCCUCCUCCUCCUCUCAAUCUUUUUCUCUCUGUCUCUUUUGUUUUCCAGAUUAUUCAGGAUGGGGCAUUGAAUUAAUAAAUGAGAUCCAUUUCAAGCCAUAAAAGGGAGCAUGGGUGUUGUUGUCAUACAAUAGAUUUGAAGCAGGGAUCUGAAACUACCUGCAAAACAUACAGCAUAUUAAUCUUCUUCUGAAGUUGCAAUUCAUUUGGAGGGUUCAAAGAGUAUUUGAUAGUAGGUUGGCAGAGAACUUCAUCACUCUUCGGCCGAAGCCAAGGUUUAUGGAAAGCUCUGCUGGGAUGAGUGACAGGCACGUGGGAGAAGGAGGGAGAGGCUACGGGGUGACGUUUCCUGUUCAGGAAAAGACGAACGGCUGUUCUGGCACCUGUUAGUCCAUCCUGGCAUGUAAAGUAAGAUUCGUCCCAUUGUGUGUGUGUGUGUGUGUGUGUGUGUGUGUGUGUGUGUGUGUGUGUGUGUGUGUGUGUGUGUGUGUGUGUGUGUGUGUGUGUGUGUGAGAGAGAGAGAGAGAGAGAGAGAGAGAGAGAGAGUCUCAUACUAAUCUUAAAAGGCAUGUCUUCAGUGUUUUUAGUCACCAAAAAAAUACAUUAGUCUGUUUAAAACUAUUGCUGUAGUUAAUACAUUUUAAUUUUUGUCUGGCUUCAUCUCAGGUUUAUAUAAAUUUCACUGAAAACAUCUAAAAGAACAUUUGUGGCCACAAGAGAAGGAGCUUUCAAGAACAUUUUAUCAACUUUGUUUUCCUGUUCAAAAUACCUUUUUGAAAUACUUAGUUGCCCGCAAUUAAAAGAAUGCUCAAAUUAAAUCUCUCCUGACUUUUUUCUAAGCAGAUUUUUUUUUCAAUAAAAAAAGCUGCUUUGAAUUGUUUGUGAAUGUU
rnacentral:lncRNA from 1 species